CUUCGGACUGGCUCAGGGAGGUCGGCAACGACCACCCAGAGCCGGAAAGUUCGUCAAACUACGUCAUUUAGAGGAAGUAAAAGUCGUAACAAGGUUUCCGUAGGUGAACCUGCGGAAGGAUCAUUACCGAGUUGAUUCGAGCUCCGGCUCGACUCUCCCACCCCAUGUGUACCUACCUCUGUUGCUUUGGCGGGCCGCGGUCCUCCGCACCGACCCCCGUUCGGGGGCCGGCCAGCGCCCGCCAGAGGACCACAAAACUCCAGUCAGUAAACGUCGCAGUCUGAGAAACAAGUUAAUAAACUAAAACUUUCAACAACGGAUCUCUUGGUUCUGGCAUCGAUGAAGAACGCAGCGAAAUGCGAUAAGUAAUGUGAAUUGCAGAAUUCAGUGAAUCAUCGAAUCUUUGAACGCACAUUGCGCCCCUUGGUAUUCCGAGGGGCAUGCCUGUUCGAGCGUCAUUUCAACCCUCAAGCUCUGCUUGGUAUUGGGCUCCGUCCUCCGCGGACGCGCCUCGAAGACCUCGGCGGUGGCGUCUUGCCUCAAGCGUAGUAGAAAACACCUCGCUUUGGAGCGCACGGCGUCGCCCGCCGGACGAACCUUUGAAUUUUUCUCAAGGUUGACCUCGGAUCAGGUAGGGAUACCCGCUGAACUUAAGCAUAUCAAUAAGCGGAGGAAAAGAAACCAACAGGGAUUGCCUUAGUAACGGCGAGUGAAGCGGCAACAGCUCAAAUUUGAAAGCUGGCCCCCUCGGGGUCCGCGUUGUAAUUUGUAGAGGAUGAUUCGGCGACGGCUCCCGCCUAAGUCCCUUGGAACAGGGCGUCAUAGAGGGUGAGAAUCCCGUAUGCGGUGGGC
rnacentral:rRNA from 1 species